rnacentral:rRNA from 1 species
UAUCUGCAGUCGACGGGGCUAGUCAGCAAUGGCUAGCUUAGUGGCGCACGGGUGCGUAACGCGUAUGCAACCUACCCCUUACUGGGGCAUAGCCUUCCGAAAGGGAGAUUAACACCGCAUAAGAUCACACUUUGGCAUCAGGGCGUGAUUAAAUCUACGGAGGUAAGGGAUGGGCAUGCGUCCGAUUAGCUAGUUGGCGGGGUAGUGGCCCACCAAGGCGACGAUCGGUCGGGGACCUGAGAGGGCGAUCCCCCACACUGGCACUGAGAUACGGGCCAGACUCCUACGGGAGGCAGCAGUAGGGAAUAUUGGGCAAUGGCGGAGACGCUGACCCAGCCAUGCCGCGUGCAGGAAGAAGGCGCUACGCGUUGUAAACUGCUUUUUUUCGGGAAGAAAAAGCUUCUGCGGAAGUCACUGACGGUACCGAAGGAAUCAGCACCGGCUAACUCCGUGCCAGCAGCCGCGGUAAUACGGAGGGUGCGAGCGUUGUCCGGAUUCAUUGGGUUUAAAGGGUGCGCAGGCGGGACAUUAAGUCAGGGGUGAAAGACGGUUGCUCAACAAUCGCAGUGCCUUUGAUACUGGUGUUCUUGGGUAACCUUGCGGUAGGCGGAAUGGGUGGUGUAGCGGUGAAAUGCAUAGAUACCACCCAGAACUCCGAUUGCGAAGGCAGCCUACUGGAGGUCAACCGACGCUCAGGCACGAAAGCGUGGGGAUCAAACAGGAUUAGAUACCCUGGUAGUCCACGCCGUAAACGAUGAUCACUCGCUGUGGGGAGACUUCUCUCCGCGGCUUAGCGAAAGCGUUAAGUGAUCCACCUGGGGAGUACGCUCGCAAGGGUGAAACUCAAAGG